CUGUAAUUCAUGGCGCUCCUCAAAGCAAGGCGACAGGCAAGAUGCUCCCUAAUGAGUGCCAGUCUGAUAAUCACGCGUGCGCGUGAAUCCUGACCCGGUGUCAGAAGAGCGGAUGUCCCGUGCCGGAUGUCAGCGGCUACAGUUCUGUCAUGGCUGCUGACUUCCUACUUGGGGUGACCCUUCAGCCCCUGACAUAGGCACAUCAGAACAUUGACUCUUUCCAACAUUAACUACAGAGACUUUGAAGGAACGAAAGGCCACAAUCCAUUCCAGAAGACACAUAUGAUGGAUACUGUGAAAGAAUUGCCAGUGGGAUCCCUGGAAGACUUACCAAGAUUGCCAUGGCAACUGGCAACGUUUGGGUUGAUCUUCAGAGCGCUGAGAAAGAAUCCUUCGGACUCC